GUCCGGGUCCGAUUUCAGAAUCAAUGGAGGACGUACUAUAAAAAAAUCAAAAAAUUGUAUGUUAUACUUGUAUGUAUUGUUAAUAUAAGAUAAUGUCUUCAACUUUUAUUAUUUAGUACAUAUUACUAGUCCCAUCGAACAUUGCUGUUUUUCAUGUAACAAUAACGCAAUGUAACCGUAGCCUCAAUAAUUAUUGUUACACUCGUAAUUAAUCGGUUCCUUACCCAACUUUGCAUUCCGGCAAUUAGUCUCCAA
rnacentral:lncRNA from 1 species